AUUUUAGGAUAGAUUUUUCUAUUAUUGCAAAAAACAUCAUUGGAAUUUUUACCUCCUUGAGUUCUCCGCCACCAACUUCCAUAACCAUCAGGAUAUUCUACAACUUCUGCAAGAAUAACAAUUUUACCUUACACUGUAUUUAUCUCAUGUGGUUUAAAACAUCCAGAAAUCAUUGAUAAACUGACCCUGCCCAAACUAAAGCAUGGUGAGUUAUAAAAGAUGGUCGCUGUUAAGUGGGGAGGGAUUGCAGGUUGAACUUAAUUUUAUAAGUGGUCAAUUUAUUACAGAAUAUUGUUCUAUUAUCUAUUUCACUUCUUUUUUAAAAAAAGUGAUAUUUGAGGGCACUUAGAUAAUAAAAAUUUGAGAAGAUAAGGAACUCAUAUAUUCUGUAAGCUUGAAAUGUUUUCAAGCAUAAGAUACAAUAAGAACUAAAACUAAGAAAUGGCAGAGGAAAUAAAGAUAAGAGGAUGAAAUUGCAAAACUGAAUCUAUAAUAAUAUCUCAAUGGCUAGCGCUGUGGUGCCAAGAAGGUGGUGAAGUCAAAGAAUUCGUAAAGAUGAUAAUAGACUGCAAAGAAAAAAGACUGAAAUUUUUGUAGAGAGAAUUUUUACAGCGAUAUUACAGAUAGAGAACAGGGAAGAGAAGUUGGAGUGAGAGACUAUCUUCUUCUUAAAUUACUUCCACUGUAGAGAACAAAAAACCAAUUUGCUGAAAUCUUUAUUCCCUUCUAUGACCCUGUGAAAGAUCAAGAUUUGGCCACCCUGAAAUCUAUCUCUUUACCUUGGUUGUUUUCUCUGAGGGCAUUUGACCUCCCCCACUAACUGCCUAAAGAAUUUAAAACAAAACAUCUGUUUCAGGAAGGAGUUAUUAUCAUGAUGGCUGUAAAUAUAAUGUACAGUAGAUGUUACAAUAGAAAAGUCACCAACAAGCCCAUCUUAUCAGAAGUUCUGUCUCUGACCAUAUUCUUCGGAUGGCCCUGCAAGGAGUUGCCAGACAGACAUUUACAUUUAUAAGGGAAAUCUCCAUUUGUAAAGGUAUCUGCCUCUCUGAAUUGGGAAGAGGGGGAAUGACCUCAUUUCUAGAAACUUAUCAAUGUAAAAGGUGAGGCCUUAAAUCUGCAUAAUAACCUCACUCUUGUUUACUGUGCUUUAGUGGUAAUCUCCUGUAACUGACUCCCCCCACCCCCAACAUCUUCCUUUGUCAUUGGCUGAACAUGAUGUUUAAGAUGAGAGUUCUGCUAUUGUGUUGAGAAACGCAGUGUCCUUGCUUUCUCCCAUGCAUACAUGUUAUUAAACUUGGUAUUAUUUUCUCCUUCUAA